GACUCCUACGGGAGGCAGCAGUGGGGAAUAUUGCACAAUGGGCGCAAGCCUGAUGCAGCGACGCCGCGUGAGGGAUGGAGGCCUUCGGGUUGUAAACCUCUUUUGUUUGGGAGCAAGCCUUCGGGUGAGUGUACCUUUCGAAUAAGCGCCGGCUAACUA
rnacentral:rRNA from 1 species